UUCUGGGAGGGUUGACAGAUUGAGAGCUCUUUCGUGAUUCGGUGGAUGGUGGUGCAUGUCUAUUCUUAGUUGGUGCAGUGAUUUGUCUGGUUAAUUCCGAUAACGAACGAGACUCUAGCCUAUCUAAUAAGUGUGUGGUUCUCUGAACCUUGCACCCUUCAGGACAAGCGGCUCGUAGCCGCACGAAACUGAUAAAUAAGAGGUCUGUGAUGCCCUUAGAU
rnacentral:rRNA from 1 species